rnacentral:lncRNA from 1 species
UUAUUUCUGGGUGCAGGUGCACUAACAGAUGAUGGAGCAGGUCCCCUUUGCCUUUGCUGAAAGGAUGAACGGUUCGCAUUACCUUUCUGUUGCCCGGACUCAUUACCGGUCUUAGCUCUCUUAUUUCUGAACUCUUCUCUGUCCCUCAACUUUUCUUCCUCAACUUGCUGCACAAAGACCAUCAACCUUGACAUGUCCAUGUCCCCAAUAAGCAUUGCAGCCCUACCUUCCUUACUCGACAACCGAGACAGCCCAG